ensembl:lncRNA
AUAUAUUUUAAGAGUUUCCCUUAAAUGUAGUUCAUGAGAUACUUUUACAACAAUUACACACACACGCUUACAGAGACAAAAACAUCAUAGUCCACCUGUCAACAGUGGGUGAAAAAAGAAGUUUUAAAUGUAGGUUCUGUACUAAAGGAGAACGUCUUCCUGGACAAGUAGAAGACAGUUUAAUGAGAAUUAGAUGAGCACCCUGAAGUUAAAACUGACCAGUAAAAACUGAUGAGGAAGCAGAAAUUAUUCCACAGGAGAAGUAAAAGCAUUACAAGCCACAGGGAAUUGCUACAUUAGAAGUUCACUGGCUAAAAACACAAGUUAGGAUAUCUAAACUCUCCAGUGAGAGGUUUUGUCAACCCAGAGGGAAAGCACAUGUCAAUAUAUCAACUAUCUAAUUACCACACUUGUUGGUUCAGCAUGUUUCCACGUGGGGGAGACGUGCUCCUCCCUAUUCCUACAGUCUUUUUUGUUCCAAUUCAUUAUCCACAAAAAUGUUGAAAUACUUAAAUGUUUCCUGUUUGGAAAGGUGAUGCAAAAAUCCAGAAUACCCUUGAGACACAGAAAGGCAAAGGCAGGAAAAGAAGCAGAUGUGUAUAAAGAAGGGGCAUGGAGAGGAAAAUGACUUCCAGGAGAAGAACUUAAAGUGGCUGGAGGAAAGGAAAAGCAAAGAGGACUGACCUCUCACUGUAGCAUUUCAGCUGUUUGUCAUCUCUUUUCCUAGCGUGGAUUGAUCACAACAAUAUCUGCUCUGAGGGGGCAGAGAGAGGAGACGGAGGAGGGAAAAAAAGCAGUAAACCUUGGCUCAAUUGAGAAAAAAGCAUCUGUGAGUGUGUGUGAGAGAGAGAGUAGAGGAGAGAGAAAAGGUAAGGGAGAGGAGGAGUGAGGCACCCUGUUCUUCCAAGCAAAGCAACCAGAAGAAAACAGAAAAAAAGAAGAAGGGAGCAUUAAAAGUAGAAGAAGGAGGAAGAAGAGUUGUCCCGACAUGGGGCUGUGUGCUGUUUUCCUCAUCUGUCUUUCCCAGGCAGAGUUGGGUAGAGUCUGGGCUCAAGAGCACAAAGGUGUGCUGAGCUGGACAGCUCUGAGGACAGAUGGAGAUGGAUCCAGGUUUCACAGAACCAGGAGGGACCAGCAGAACCACAGAGAAACAGCACAGACAGGAGGAGGUAAGGUACUGGAUAUCAGUACCUUACCAGACAACGUGACCUACAUAGUGGUGAGAUGCAAACAAAUGACACAUUUUACAAUAAACUAUGAGUCUAAAUUUGACGAGUAGCUGCUGAAACAAGCUGAGCAGAUUCUAAAUGGUGCUGUAGACAAACACUAUUCUAAAUCAAUUUUAAAAUGUUUUCAUGGUGUAAUGUUGUAAAACUUAUUUUAUUAACUGCAAUUAACAAAAACGUUGUAGAGUGUACCUGGCAGAACUAACAAGUUUGGAGGUGAAGCACCUGGACUAUUUAUGGGGAGCACAUGACACCUGCGCAAAGUAAACAUGGAGGAGGAUUCAUUAAGACUUUAUCCGUUUGGAUAUUUAUCAUAAACCGGCAGUUUUUAAUCCUGUAGGGCAUGUUUCUCAAUCCUGGUCCUGGAGGGUCGGUGUCUAGCCUAUUUUAGUUGUUUCCCUAACCCAGCACACUUGAUUAACCUGUUCAGUAGCUCAUCAAGCUCUGCAAAAGCCUGUUAAUUUAAAUCAGGUGUGUUGAAGCAGGGUUAAAACUAAAAAAUGCUGAACACCUGCCCUCCGCCCUCCAGGACCAGAAUUGAGAACCACUGCUGUGGGGGAUUAUAACAAACCCUGGUGUCUUGAGAAGCUAUAGACUUGCUCACAUUUGCAGUCAAAGUUUUACUUGUAAACAAUGUAAAAUAUUUACUUACAAGAACCAAAUCCAUUAAAGAGAAUUUUUUUAAAAAAGCAAGAGAACCAGAUUGAUCAUGUAACACAGGGUAAUUCAAUUCCGGGCCUGGAGUGCCAGUAUCCAGCAUGUUUUAAUUGUUUUUCUGCUCCAACACACUAGAUUCAGUGGUUAAACCCGUGCAGCAGCUCUUCGGGCUCUGCAGAAGCCUGUUAAUCACCUGCUGAGUGAAAUCAGGUGUGUUGAAAUGGAGUUAAAAUUAAAAUGUGUUGGAUACUGGCCCUCCAGGACUGGAACUCAAUAACAUGCAUGUGUACGAGAGACAAUGUCCAAGCAGGCUUGUGAUCAAAAACUAUGAGGUGGAAGCACAAAUACAGUCCCACAACAGUAAUGCAAAGACACACGGUCAAAGGGACACAGAUUUGGUCAAAAACACAAACUGUGGAGCACUGGAAUGCUGUGGUUCUGGCUGCAGACAGUCUGGCACUGGGAGAGACUGAGGAGAGCUGAUAUGCUGUGACUCACAGGUGAGGCACGAGUAUGAUUGCAUUGAGCAGCUGCACAUGAGGCACAAUGUAAAUCAGACUAAAUCAAAUGAUGACACGAAGAAAAACGUUUUUUAAGGCGCACUUGCUUCCUUCUUUACCAUCCGAGCCUCUGUAACAGCGUUUCCCCAUUUUAAGUGUUGUGCAGAGCUGCUUUCAAUUGUAAUUUUGAUGAAUCACACCUCAUCUUUCCCAAUGGGUUUUUUGGCUGAAGAAGAGAAAUAUGUGCAGAGUGUUCUUCAACUCACACAGCAAUGACAGUAAAUUGCUGUAAUUUCAGCAUUGUCCAAAAUAAUUGUGAAUACGGUUUUAUUGUUAAACAUGCAGCUUUAACUCAUAAACUUAAUUUGGCUCAAAUUUAAAAAGCAACAAUACCAACAUGUUUGUCUGAAGAAAUGUUGCUUGUCUUUGAAAAUCUUUUGGGGUGGACUCCACAGCAUGUCAUCCUCUAAGUCACACAAUGUGAUGCCUAAACCAACAUUGUCUUGUUUCAUAGCAAAGUUGUUAUUCUCACAUUUAAAAAAGGUCAAACACACCUCUGUAACACAUCGGAACACUUUAUUCUUUACUGGAGAAAAGCCAAAGGUAAAUCCCUUUUGAGGUUUUAUUUUUUUUUUUUGAAAACCUCUGGGAAAGCCCCUGAAAGUUCAUCGCACAAAUUCAAAACACUCACUUAAAAAAUCUUGAAUCUACUGGAAGAAAAAACAUAAACAAGAGAACUGGAACUCAUCAUCUCUAUUGCUGUUUGCAAUGGAAGAACUCUUCUAACUUGAAUAAUUUUAUUUGUUGUAAAGUAAUAAAGUAAAUAUAACAGCUUUAUACUUUUUUACUAAAUAAAUUCAUUGCAUUGAUGCUUAACUGCAAAGUUUGUUUUUAUUUUGAAGAUUGCAUUUUCAGUCAGGCAGUUUGAGGCAGACAGUUAGUGUCCAGUGCCAUUUUUAGCUCAUUCAAUCAGUGUUUGUCUCAUUGCGUUUUGUUUGGGCCCCACACACAGUUUUCACUUAAAUCAGCCUCAGUAAAAUUCAAUCCAAAUAAACCGUGUUGCUCAUUCCGUUCCCCUCUCCCUGGAUCUCAAAUAGAAAACAGACAAAGUGCUGAACCUGCCAGCUAACAAUGUUUCUUUGUCCGCGAGUGUGUGUGUGCGUGCACAUGUACGCUCAUGAAUGAUUCACUUGGACCAGAUCACACAAAGUCCUGCCGUACUUCUGCUGUAAGCGUUUUAAAGAAAACAAAACAAAAUAAAACAAAAAUCAGUCAGCUGAAAAAAUAAAAAAGUUUGUAAGUCUCCUCAACUAGAAAUCCCCCCUUGAGAAAAAUAGGCUGGUGUCAGGCAUUGAAGAUGGAGGAGAAAGUGGGUCAUCGGCUGUAUGUGGAGCAGCCGGAGAGGUUGUGUGAGUUCUGCAUUUAACUGCUAUACUUUCUCAGCCAACACCAAACCCCAUAACCAUUGCUCUCUGUCACCUUGGAGCAUACCAUACAUUAAUAAUGCCAUCAAAACUGGACAUAAGUAGGAAGACACAGGCUGUGUGACACCAUGGAACAUGUGUAAAUAGCUCCCUCAAGUGGAUGUAUGGGCUCAACGAGGGAGAAUAAAUCUGUGAGAAAGACUCUUUCCCUCCUUUUUUAAAUUUAUUUCCUUUUUCUUUGAACAUACCAACAACGCAGACAAUCAAAGCUUUUGUAGCAGAAAUCCACAUUUUAUAUCCUGAGAUUAACUUUGUUUAGAUUCACAUGGAGAAGUACAGUAACAUUUUCACUCAACGGUUUCUUUCACACUUAGCAGAAAAAAGGGGGAAUUUGAAACUGGCCUACAAUCCAACACAUUCUCACUCCCAGCGUGUCAAAAAACAAACGCUUGGUCAGCCACCCUCCGCCUCAGACCCCUAACGCCAAAACUGCCCUUUUUCAUUACUUAUGUGUGAAAAGGGUUUUUUCCCUUUUCUAACUGCAGAUCCCAAUGCAGCGUAAAACUGACGUGAUGGGGUAUCCGCUGAUGCGGCACCGAACCAGCUCAUUUAACCACACCUAAACCUUAACGUUUCACUAUUUAUAACCUUCCCCUCGCCCUCAUCCUAACCUUAACCCUCUUGCUACUUAAAACGUUACUCUCACUGUGAUCAAGCAUCUGUUUCCCAUGCAUUCUGACUGUGAAUUUUCGUAUUUGACGCCCAAGGGGAACACUAGAACAUACCAUCUGGCGAGGGGGAGGUUACAAAUACCCUCUGCUUUUAACCUCCACCUUGGUAGUUGAAAGGUCCCCCUCGCGUUGGCUCGGUCCAAACCCAACCAAUGACGAGGCGGCUCCCGCCGUUCAC